CAGAUUGCAGGCUGCAACUCGCCUGCAUGAAGUCGGAAUUGCUAGUAAUCGUAGGUCAGCAUACUACGGUGAAUACGUUCCCGGGCCUUGUACACACCGCCCGUCAAACCAUGAGAGUUGGCAACACCCGAAGUCGGUAGUCUAACCGCAAGGAGGACGCCGCCGAAGGUGGGGUUGAUGAUUAGGGUUAAGUCGUAACAAGGUAUC
rnacentral:rRNA from 1 species